rfam:Erinaceus europaeus unplaced genomic scaffold scaffold00697, whole genome shotgun sequence
GUAUCAUUGAUGAGUCCCCUCAAAAGCAUUCCUUGGAAAGCUGAACAAAAUGUGUGAGAACUCACCACUGGUAACCUCAUUGGAUACUUAGGUCC